GCGUGCUUACCAUGCAAGUCGACGGUAAGGCCCCUUCGGGGGUACACGAGUGGCGAACGGGUGAGUAACACGUGGGUAAUCUGCCCUGCACUUCGGGAUAAGCCUGGGAAACUGGGUCUAAUACCGGAUAUGAACUCCUGCCGCAUGGUGGGGGUUGGAAAGUUUUUCGGUGCAGGAUGAGCCCGCGGCCUAUCAGCUUGUUGGUGGGGUAAUGGCCUACCAAGGCGACGACGGGUAGCCGGCCUGAGAGGGUGAUCGGCCACACUGGGACUGAGACACGGCCCAGACUCCUACGGGAGGCAGCAGUGGGGAAUAUUGCACAAUGGGCGAAAGCCUGAUGCAGCGACGCCGCGUGGGGGAUGACGGUCUUCGGAUUGUAAACCCCUUUCAGUAGGGACGAAGCGCAAGUGACGGUACCUGCAGAAGAAGCACCGGCUAACUACGUGCCAGCAGCCGCGGUAAUACGUAGGGUGCGAGCGUUGUCCGGAAUUACUGGGCGUAAAGAGCUCGUAGGCGGUUUGUCACGUCGUCUGUGAAAUCCCUCGGCUUAACCGGGGGCGUGCAGGCGAUACGGGCAGACUUGAGUACUACAGGGGAGACUGGAAUUCCUGGUGUAGCGGUGAAAUGCGCAGAUAUCAGGAGGAACACCGGUGGCGAAGGCGGGUCUCUGGGUAGUAACUGACGCUGAGGAGCGAAAGCAUGGGUAGCGA
rnacentral:rRNA from 1 species